ACAAUGCUUAACACAUGGGGACCGGACAGACAAGAUGUGUUCUCCUCUGAUGGCUGCUCUAAUACAGAAAGCAAGGCUGAGAUAGGGCUCCCGUACAAAGAGCACCAGGCUUGUGAUCGUCAGUCUACAAUUUGUGAUAGCGAGUCUCCUUCAUCCAAGCAUUCUUUGUCCUCUCCUGUGGCAGACAACGAGGUGGGAACGGUGGUUCUGUUCGGGGUCCCCAUUGUCUGUCUGUAUGUCGAGAACAGGGAGCGGCUCUGUCUGGCGCAGAUCUCCAACACACUGCUCAGAAACUUCAGUUAUAACGAGAUCCACAACCGCCGAGUGGCGCUGGGAAUCACGUGCCUUCAAUGCACGCCUGUCCAGCUCGAGAUAUUGCGACGAACGGGCGCCAUGCCGGUGUCGUCAAGGCGCUGUGGACUGAUCACCAAGCGAGAGGCAGAGAGGCUGGUCAAGUCCUUCCUAGAAGAAAUCCCUCCGCCGAAACUCCCAGAAAACUUUUCUUUUAAGGUACAUCAUUCGUGUGGAUGGGGUUGCCAGGGCUUGUUUCUACCCUCCAGAUACAAUAGUUCGCGGGCUAAAUGUAUCAAGUGCACCUUCUGUAAUUCGUUCUUUUCGCCCAACAAGUUCAUCUUCCACUACCACAAGACGUCAUCAUCCAGCUUCCGUCACCCUGACGCAGCAAACUUCAACUCAUGGCGACGUCAUCUUCACCUGAACGAGCCCUCGCCCUCAGAUUCCCUUCAGCACGCGUGGGAGGACGUCAAGUCCAUGUUUAACGGAGGAUGCCGGAAGCGCUCCUCUCAACCGAGCAUGGGUCCUGCAUCUUCACCGACCACUGCGCCACUUCCUGUUGGGCCGUUAACCCAGAGUCCAUUCGACCAUCUACAGACAAUGCCAACAGGGGUGAACCAGUUUAAUAGCUACAUUGGACCCACCGUCAUAGAACCGGAGCAGACAGACAGACAAAUCGCCCAUCCGUCGUUCCAGUCCAAUUUUCCCGGCAACAUGAUUGGUUCUUACGGGGACAUCCUGCGCUCCCUCAGCAUGCAUUACACCCCCUGGUGGAAGUCGAUGUACCUGACCGGGCAGCCCUACCCACACUGUAACUCUGUCCCCCUCCCCAUCAACAUGCCGUGCAUCAACUACCCUUCCAUGAUCCUCUCCUCCAGCGAUUCCAACAGGUCUUCCACGAGGGAGGGGGACCUCAAAUUUGAAACUUCCGGUCACAUGAGGAGCGUUCGGGGUGAGAACAAAAAACAAAUCAAGCAGCCGUCGGCAGACCCUCCAUCAAGUACAUUGACCAGGGACGUGAACCAGUUUAUUGAAGCAGAGGCGACUAGUCCGGCUAAAUCCAAGGGGGAGGACGACAGACCUUUUAACUACAAACCUUACAUUCCUUUCGAAAGAAAAGUUAAAGAGGAGCAAGACAAACCAGGAAAGAAUCCGGAUACAAACAAGUCAAUCACUGUUUCGGAGGACGCAAAAGAGCUCUACUCCAGCGACUCCAUGGAUAUAUCAGCCUACUCCAUCGACCAGCUCAGAGAACUACUGCUAAAGUCCAGGACGGACAAGUGCGGAGCAUCAGACUGAGGGAACCCCCGUCAUCCCCGGACUUCACCAGUGGUGACUGCUGGUAGCGGGAAAUCCGUUAGCUUUAUUUGUGUUUUCCAAUUUUCUACCUUUACACUUCUAGAAGUCUCCUCGGACAGAUUAAGCGGAAUAACAUUACUCCAGAAAUGUUCAUUUCCCCGUAAAAAUAUUAAUUUGUUACUAUGUGCCGCAAGGCCUGUCAUAGGGGAAUUGUUCCCAUUUAUGAAAUAAAUAACAUAAUUGAUUUCUGUAGAAAAUUGGAUAAUGUACAAUGUCUUUCCCAGAUACCCUUUUAACGCGUUUUAAUAAUUAAUUGUAUUACAACAUUGACAAAUGAUUAUGCCGUGCGCUCCUCGACUAUGCUGACUGCACGAUGAGAGUUAAUAUUUGUUAAAUUGUCUAAUGGUUUUAGUGUUUAUUAAAUAGAUUUCUCAUUGAGAUCAUUGAGCUUUG
rnacentral:misc_RNA from 1 species